GACGAACGCUGGCGGCGUGCUUAACACAUGCAAGUCGAACGGUAAGGCCCUUCGGGGUACACGAGUGGCGAACGGGUGAGUAACACGUGGGUGAUCUGCCCUGCACUUUGGGAUAAGCCUGGGAAACUGGGUCUAAUACCGGAUAGGACCAUGGACUUCACGGUUUGUGGUGGAAAGCUUUUGCGGUGUGGGAUGGGCCCGCGGCCUAUCAGCUUGUUGGUGGGGUAAUGGCCUACCAAGUAGAAUAAUUUAAUAAUUCCGGAGAGGGUGUCCGGCCGCAAUGGGACUGAGAUACGGACCAGACUCCUACGGGAGGCAGCAGUGGGGAAUAUUGCACAAUGGGCGCAAGCCUGAUGCAGCGACGCCGAGGGGGGGAUGACGGCCUUCGGGUUGUAAACCUCUUUCAGUAGGGACGAAGCGCAAGUGACGGUACCUGGAGAAUAAGCCCCGGCAAACUUCGUGCCAGCAGCCGCCGUAA
rnacentral:rRNA from 1 species